UACGAAGGGGGCUAGCGUUGCUCGGAAUCACUGGGCGUAAAGGGUGCGUAGGCGGGUCUUUAAGUCCGAGGUGAAAUCCUGGAGCUCAACUCCAGAACUGCCUUUGAUACUGAGGAUCUUGAGUAUGGGAGAGGUGAGUGGAACUGCGAGUGUAGAGGUGAAAUUCGUAGAUAUUGGGAAGAACACCGGUGGCGAAGGCGGCUCUCUGGACCGAUACUGACGCUGAGGCGCGAAAGCGUGGGGAGCAAACAGG
rnacentral:rRNA from 1 species